GUGCCAGCAGCCGCGGUAAUACGUAGGGUGCAAGCGUUAUCCGGAAUUAUUGGGCGUAAAGAGCUCGUAGGCGGUUUGUCGCGUCUGUCGUGAAAGUCCGGGGCUCAACUCCGGAUCUGCGGUGGGUACGGGCAGACUAGAGUGAUGUAGGGGAGACUGGAAUUCCUGGUGUAGCGGUGGAAUGCGCAGAUAUCAGGAGGAACACCGAUGGCGAAGGCAGGUCUCUGGGCAUUAACUGACGCUGAGGAGCGAAAGCAUGGGGAGCGAACAGGAUUAGAUACCCUGGUAGUCCAUGCCGUAAACGUUGGGCACUAGGUGUGGGGGACAUUCCACGUUUUCCGCGCCGUAGCUAACGCAUUAAGUGCCCCGCCUGGGGAGUACGGCCGCAAGGCUAAAACUCAAAGGAAUUGACGG
rnacentral:rRNA from 1 species